rnacentral:rRNA from 1 species
AUUGAACGCUGGCGGCAGGCCUAACACAUGCAAGUCGAGCGGUAGCACAGAGAGCUUGCUCUCGGGUGACGAGCGGCGGACGGGUGAGUAAUGUCUGGGAAACUGCCUGAUGGAGGGGGAUAACUACUGGAAACGGUAGCUAUACCGCAUAACGUCGCAAGACCAAAGAGGGGGACCUUCGGGCCUCUUGCCAUCAGAUGUGCCCAGAUGGGAUUAGCUAGUAGGUGGGGUAACGGCUCACCUAGGCGACGAUCCCUAGCUGGUCUGAGAGGAUGACCAGCCACACUGGAACUGAGACACGGUCCAGACUCCUACGGGAGGCAGCAGUGGGGAAUAUUGCACAAUGGGCGCAAGCCUGAUGCAGCCAUGCCGCGUGUAUGGAGAAGGCCUUCGGGUUGUAAAGUACUUUCAGCGGGGAGGAAGGCGAUAAGGUCAAUAACCUUGUCGAUUGACGUUACCCGCAGAAGAAGCACCGGCUAACUCCGUGCCAGCCGCCGCGGUAA